rnacentral:rRNA from 1 species
AGUGAACGCUGGCGGUAGGCCUAACACAUGCAAGUCGAACGGCAGCACAGAGGAGCUUGCUCCUUGGGUGGCGAGUGGCGGACGGGUGAGGAAUACAUCGGAAUCUACUCUGUCGUGGGGGAUAACGUAGGGAAACUUACGCUAAUACCGCAUACGACCUACGGGUGAAAGCAGGGGACCUUCGGGCCUUGCGCGAUUGAAUGAGCCGAUGUCGGAUUAGCUAGUUGGGGGGGUAAAGGCCCACCAAGGAGACGAUCCGUAGCUGGUCGGAGAGGAUGAUCAGCCACACUGGAACUGAGACACGGUCCAGACUCCUACGGGAGGCAGCAGUGGGGAAUAUUGGACAAUGGGCGCAAGCCUGAUCCAGCCAUACCGCGUGGGUGAAGAAGGCCUUCGGGUUGUAAAGCCCUUUUGUUGGGAAAGAAAUCCAGCUGGCUAAUACCCGGUUGGGAUGACGGUACCCAAAGAAUAAGCACCGGCUAACUUCGUGCCAGCCGCCGCCGUAA